AGUGAACGCUGGCGGCGGGCCUAAUACAUGCAAGUCGAAGGAAGUGGCGCACGGGUGAGUAAUAUAUAGCUAAUCUGCCCCUUGCUGGAGGACUACAGUUAGAAAUGACUGCUAAUACUCCAUAGAAAGGGAUGAGACUGUAUCGUAUCAGCUAGUCGGUGAGGUAACGGCCUACCGAGGCUAUGACACGUAACUGGUCUGUGAGGAUGAUCCGUCAAAUUGGAACUGAGACACGGUCCAAACUCCUACGGGAGUCAGCAGUAGGGAAUAUUGCGCAAUGGGCGAAACCGUGACGCAGCAACGCGGCGUGGAGGAUUACACUUUUCGGGGCGUGAACUCCUGUUGAUAGGGAAGCGUUACCUGACGAAUAAGCACCGGCUAACUCCGUGCCAGCAGCCGCGGUAAUUC
rnacentral:rRNA from 1 species